rnacentral:lncRNA from 1 species
UACGGUUAGGCCGAGGGGCGGAGCUAAAAGUAGACCACUGGGUGUGACCUGGGAGAAAGAAGGGUAGUAAUGGAGCCACUGGAGAGGAUCUUCCGAAGGUCC